rnacentral:rRNA from 1 species
AUUGAACGCUGGCGGCAUGCCUUACACAUGCAAGUCGAACGGUAACGCGGGGCAACCUGGCGACGAGUGGCGAACGGGUGAGUAAUGCAUCGGAACGUGCCCGGUAGCGGGGGAUAACCGCUCGCAAGAGCCGCUAAUACCGCAUACGACCUGAGGGUGAAAGGGGGGGAACGCAAGACCUCUCGCUAUCGGAGCGGCGGAUGUCGGAUGAGCUAGUGGUUAGGGUAAAGGCCCGCCAGGGCAACGAUCCGUAGCUGGUCUGAGAGGACGACCAGACACACUGGCACUGGGACACGGCCCAGACUCCGACGGGAGGCAGCAGUGGGGAAUUUUGUACAAUGGGCGAAAGCCUGAUCCAGCAAUGCCGCGUGCAGGAAGAAGGCCUUCGGGUUGUAAACUGCUUUUGGACGGAGCGAAAAGGCCCUUUCUAAUACAAGGGGCUCAUGACGGUACCGUAAGAAUAAGCACCGGCUAACUACGUGCCAGCCGCCGCGGUAAAAC